UACGGAGGAUGCGAGCGUUAUCCGGAUUUAUUGGGUUUAAAGGGUGCGUAGGCGGGAUGCCAAGUCAGCGGUAAAAAUGCGGUGCUCAACGCCGUCGAGCCGUUGAAACUGGCGUUCUUGAGUGGGCGAGAAGUAUGCGGAAUGCGUGGUGUAGCGGUGAAAUGCAUAGAUAUCACGCAGAACUCCGAUUGCGAAGGCAGCAUACUGGACGGCAACUGACGCUGAGGCUCGAAAGCGUGGGGAGCAAACAGG
rnacentral:rRNA from 1 species